AUUGAACGCUGGCGGCAGGCCUAACACAUGCAAGUCGAGCGAGCGGCGGACGGGUGAGUAAUGCUUAGGUAUCUGCCUGGUCGUGGGGGAUAACGUCCGGUAAUGGGCGCUAAUACCGCAUACUCUUACAUGAGCCUAGGGCGGAUUAGCUAGUUGGUGGGGUAAAGGCCUACCAAGGCGACGAUCCGGAACUGGGCUGAGAGGAUGACCAGCCACACUGGAACUGAGACACGGUCCAGACUCCUACGGGAGGCAGCAGUGGGGAAUAUUGCACAAUGGGCGCAAGCCUGAUGCAGCCAUGCCGCGUGUAUGAAGAAGGCCUUCGGGUUGUAAAGUACUUUCAGCGGGGAGGCGUUACCCGCAGAAGAAGCACCGGCUAACUCCGUGCCAGCAGCCGCGGUAAUAC
rnacentral:rRNA from 1 species